UAAAAAAUCCUGGGUUAUUUUUUCUACCCAAGUGCUGGGUUGAGCCAUUUGGGUAAAUUUUUUGGGUUAUUUUCUCAGUCUUGGGUAGUUUUUGGGUAGUUCUAUGUAACCCAACCGCUGGGUUAUUUUCUGGGUCGUUUUCACUGAGAGCUGAAUCAAUGCACCCCCUCCCCCACUCGGACGCAAUAACCCAGCUCAUUGGGUCAAAUCAACUCCGCGCAGGAUCAGCGCUGCGCGGGCUGACUGAAUUCGAGGUGGAGGUGGAUGCCACACACACGCUGUAAUAUUUGGAGAAAUAAGACCUGCUAUUGACUGUCCGUGGUGGCAAAUCCACAGCCUUUAGCUGGAGUAGAAUCAACCGUAUCUGAAGAGAGAGCUGAGGAAAUUAAACAAUGGCUGAGAAACAACACACAGCCCAUCAGCCAGGUGGAACAGUACAUCUGAAAAAUAUGUUUGAGGUCCUCCAUGAGUUUCCUCGGCUAACUACCUCAGGCAUGAUUGCACAGGACUUUCACAUUUUACAUUAAGAUGAAAACUGUUUGAAAAAUGGCUGGUAUACUGACAGGAUCUUGCUUUUUGUGAGCGAGAAGCAAAGCUUUCAUGUACAGCUGAAGAAAUGACAGAAGAUGCAAAGGGAAAUCUUGCACUAAAGCUAUUACCUGUUUUGCUUCUACCUCCACCCUACAAAUUUGGCAGAAAAACAGUCCGACCCAGCAUUGAUGAAAGCAAAAAAGCUUUCAUUGACAUUCAGCCUGUUGGAACAAAUAUGGUGGAGUACCUCCAGCAGGCUGAAGCAUCAAGACCUUACCCAUAUGUCCUGUAACUUGAAAAUGGACACAUUGCGUCGCGGGCAUUUGUCAUCCUCGCAGGAGAAGCUUUGGAACAAAGAACUAUUGUUUAAGGGGAAGUCAUGGCCUAAUGGUUAGAGAGUUGGACUCGCAAUUUAAGGGUUGUGUGUUCGAGUCUCGGGCCGACAGGAAUUGUAGGUGAGAGGAGUGAAUGUAUAGUGCUCUCUUCCACCCUCAAUACCACGACUUAGGUGCCCUUGAGCAAGGCAUCAAAC